UACGAAGGGGGGCUAGCGUUGCUCGGAAUCACUGGGCGUAAAGCGCACGUAGGCGGAUUGUUAAGUCAGGGGUGAAAUCCUGGAGCUCAACUCCAGAACUGCCUUUGAUACUGACGGUCUUGAGUUCGGGAGAGGUGAGUGGAACUGCGAGUGUAGAGGUGAAAUUCGUAGAUAUUCGCAAGAACACCAGUGGCGAAGGCGGCUCACUGGCCCGAUACUGACGCUGAGGUGCGAAAGCGUGGGGGAGCAAACAGG
rnacentral:rRNA from 1 species